CCUACGGGGGGCAGCAGUAAGGAAUAUUGGACAAUGGGCGCAAGCCUGAUCCAGCCAUGCCGCGUGAAGGAUGAAGGCCCUCUGGGUUGUAAACUUCUUUUAUGUGGGAAUAAACCCCCGGUUUCUACCGGGGCUGAAUGUACCAUAAGAAUAAGGAUCGGCUAACUUCGUGCCAGCAGCCGCGGUAAGACGAACCGUACAAACGUUAUUCGGAAUUACUGGGCUUAAAGGGUGCGUAGGCGGCGGUGCAAGUUGGGUGUGAAAUCCCUCGGCUCAACCGAGGAACUGCGCUCAAAACUGCAUUGCUUGAGGGAGAUAGAGGUGAGUGGAACUUAGGGUGGAGCGGUGAAAUGCGUUGAUAUCCUAAGGAACACCAGUGGCGAAAGCGACUCACUGGGUCUCUUCUGACGCUGAGGCACGAAAGCUAGGGUAGCGAACGGGAUUAGAUACCCCUGUANUC
rnacentral:rRNA from 1 species